ACAUAGACUUAAACAGCUUUCACAGAUCGUAGCAAAUACUUGGCUGACUCUUUUGGAAGCUCAUUAAGUCCUUGGUGGGUCACAUUACACCAGGCGGUUAUGCAUGUUUUGGACACUCCAUGAUUGCUUUGACCUGUUUUCCGAAUCGCCUCCUAGGGCGCAUGUGGUCUCUCUGUGCCCGAGCUCUCAGCUGGUACAGAGAAGCAAGCUGGAGCAGACGGAAGGACUCGCGCCGAGGGACAGAUAUGCCAGGGGAGCUGGUAGUGCCCUCCCGGGCCCCACGAACAUGCUUCGAUCUGCUCUAGUGAGAAGAGAAAAUACAUUCACGCUGAGAAGACAGCAUUGAAUUCUUCCCAGCUUGCAGUCCUCAUGGUCGGUGAAGAACAGGGCAUUUGACUGGUUGAUUUUCAAAGCCCUGCCAAGGGAUGUAGAUGUGAUGGCUGGAGCUUCGGCAUCCAUAUUGAGCCACGAGGCAACCACAAGGAUGGAAGAGCAGAGAGAGAAAAGGAGUCUAGAUUCCUGAGCAUCUUGGAGCCACCACACUGACCCUGAUCCUUAUGACACAUUGUCUAUUGUUUUCAGACGUGACACACGAACACCUCGGACCCCUGACUCGUUGAAGGCUGCUGGGUGUGCACCGGCCCCCUGGGGCUGUUCUCACGCGAUGCAGGAGUGCCCAGGGGCAGGCCACACCUGAGGACGCAGACUGGCCAGAAAGUGCCCACCUGGAAAGCUGUGAAGGCUCGUAUUGUCUUCCAGGGGAGAAGACAGCAGAAUGGAAACGGGAGAGGUGAGAACUGCCAGGGCCGAGGAUAACUUGAGGAUGAUCGGUCGCUGUCGAAGACAACAGAACUCCUUCUUGGAGAGACUGCAUGCGUGGGGAAACUGCUGGCUGGUCUCUGGCCCCGCUUGGUCCUUCUAAGCUCUUGCAGCCACUCCCAAACAUCUAUAAAACUCCAUGGGGAAGAUUUCCAAAGUCCGUUUGAGUCCUGAAACACUUGUGUCUUUCCAGCAAAGGAAUGGCAUUAAACGGGUGGUUGCUUUCUAUCUGCAUUCUCACCCUUUCCCAGGGAGUAAUGGGGCUGGGAUAAUUUUUAAAAAUACAGCCUUUCAGAAUUGUGACAACAUGUUUCUCUAAUAGCCACAAUAAAUGUCCCCAAAGAU